ACUGCUUCAGGUGGGGUUUUUGUUUCGAGAACUUUAGUUUCUGUUUCUCUUUUUUACGUCCAGAACUGAGACGUUUAGUUUUACUGUUAACGUGUGGAGAUUUAUUCCGAAAACGUUACACGAUGCAGAAUGAUAGCUUCCUGUAUGUGUUCUUGCUAAAUGUUAGCCUGGUUUUUUAAUUUAAGUAGAACAAGUGCUAAAUGAUUAAAUGCAUAACGUGUCCACUGUCUACUUCGGAUCAGCUUUACCGCUGUAGGAGUGAGACCAGCGAACAAGAUCGGAUGGAGAAAAGAAGCUUAGAUGGAAAAGGAACAGAGACACAGCCCAACUUAUUUACUGCAUUAAAAAGAGGAUCAACCGGUGAGCCCAGAAAGAACCGUGCCUCAAAAUUAAGAAUCUGAUUUCAUCUAAAGCCUUUUUAUAAAGACAACAGAAGUGAACUUGAUCGGUGAACAGCUGAUUGCUCUAAGUUUCAGGCUUCUGGAAGUCCUGAAUCAACUUCAUUUAUGUCUCCGGGUUUGCUUCAACUCCUCAGCCUCUGGAAACUACUGUCUUUGGAGACAAUUAACAACAAAGAUCCUGUUUAAACAUUUCAGCGUUUGUUUUAUCAUGUAGUGUGUUGAGAUUUCCUUAAAUAUAAAGUGCAAAUACAAAUAAAAUUUACUAUUACAUCCACACUCA